GAACCCCUGAUCUAUAACCAACAUGCCCAUAGGGGGGUGGGGGUGGGGGAUGUUUGGGAACCCCUGAUCUAUAACCAACAUGCCCAUAGGGGGGUGGGGGUGGGGGAUGUUUGGGAACCCCUGAUCUAUAACCAAAUCAAAGACGUGAAAGUCGAUGCCAAACCACAAAACCCCCGGAUAGGACAACUGAGGUAUUUCAGAUUAGACUCACACACACACACACACACACACACACACACACACACACACACACACACACACACACACACACAGAGAGACACGUGCAAGUGCGCACACACACACACACACACACACACAGAGACACGUGCAAGUGCGCUCACACACACACACACACACCCUGCCAUCUUGCUAUAGACAGAUCUAUAAAUUCAAGCCCCGGCUCUGCAUAUACAUACAAUCUGACCAUUAUGUAGAGAUGAAGACACUGUACCAGUUAGGUGAGUUAGUUGAUAUGCCAUCGCUUACCGUUCCCACUGUUUAUACCAUAGGACUCUGGAUGGAUGGGUUCUAACCGUUACUGUUCAUAACUGUUUAUACCAUAGGACUCUGGAUGGAUGGGUUCUAACCAUU